rnacentral:rRNA from 1 species
GACGAACGCUGGCGGCGUGCUUAAUACAUGCAAGUCGAACGGGGUGUGGUCGGGGGUAACUCUGGCUGCAUCUAGUGGCGAACGGGUGAGUAACACGUGAGAAACCUGCCCUGAGGACGGGGAUAACAGAAGGAAACUUCUGCUAAUACCCGAUGCCCCCACCGGACCGCAUGGUCUGGUGAGGAAAUGGAUUCCGCUUCAGGAGGGUCUCGCGGCCUAUCAGCUUGUUGGUGGGGUAACGGCCUACCAAGGCGUCGACGGGUAGCUGGUCUGAGAGGACGAUCAGCCACACUGGGACUGAGACACGGCCCAGACUCCUACGGGAGGCAGGAGUAAGGAAUAUUGCGCAAUGGGCGAAAGCCUGACGCAGCAACGCCGCGUGCGGGAUGAAGGCCCUCGGGUUGUAAACCGCUUUCAGUAGGGAAGAAGAUGACGGUACCUACAGAAGAAGCCCCGGCCAACUACGUGCCAGCCGCCGCAGUAAUAC